GAGAAGUCCCCGCGACAGAAACGCUGCGGAUGCCAGGUCUUGAAAAUGCUGACUUCUGAGGCUAAGAAUUAUUUCAAAGACAAAAAGAAAAGACUGGAGCAGCCGGCGGAGCUCGGGUGGAGGAAAGCGAGGAGGCGACCAGGAGGAUGCCGCCGCCGCCGCCGCCGCCGCAGGGCCCGGGGCUUCUGCAGGGCGCAAAGCCUCCCUCACCAGGGUAAGGGGCUGGCGAUCAACCUGGACGCCUGGGACCCUGGGAGCAAGCAUCCCGCAGCCGAGCAGGCGACGGCGCGGCCACCGCCUGGAGAGGAGCCGGGGCCCGGGGCGGCGUGCGGGUCGGCGGCAGCUGGCUUGGCCUAUCCGAAACCCCAGGCCUGGAAGCCGCUGCUUUAGGCGUCAAGUUGAGCGGGGCAGGAGAAAGAAGCGGAGCCGAGCCGAGCCGCCGAGUCCCUCCCCCCGGAGCCCCGGCGCCUGCCUGGGCGGUCCCGGCCGCGCAGUUAAAGACAGAAAAGAAGCCGGGAAUCUGCGGGGCUGGGGGGCGGGGAGCGACACCAAAGGCCAGAAACUGCAGCACGGCCCGAGGCCCUGGCGAGCUGGGCCUGGGGGAGGAGAAGUCCCUUCCCAUUCCAGCUCGAUCAAUCUUGCUGGACUGCGAUC
rnacentral:lncRNA from 1 species